rnacentral:misc_RNA from 1 species
GAUGAAGAACGCAGCGAAAUGCGAUAAGUAAUGUGAAUUGCAGAAUUCAGUGAAUCAUCGAAUCUUUGAACGCACAUUGCGCCCCCCAGUAUUCUGGCGGGCAUGCCUGUUCGAGCGUCAUUUCAACCAUCAAGCCCUGCUUGUGUUGGGGUCCUGCGGCUGCCCGCAGGCCCUGAAAACCAGUGGCGGGCUCGCUAGUCACACCGAGCGCAGUAGCACAUCUCGCCCAGGGCGUGCGGCGGGCUCCAGCCGUUAAAGCACCCACCUUUCGCAAGGUUGACCUCGGAUCAGGUAGGAAUACCCGCUGAACUUAAGCAUAUCAAUAAGCGGAGGA